ACCUGGUUGGCUCAGUCAGUUAAGCAUCUGAUUUCAGCUCAGGUCAUGAUCUCGCAGUUUGUGGGUUCAAGCCCCAUGUCAGGCU
rnacentral:tRNA from 1 species